AAGAAUUCUAUUCUGCAAUCCAUAAUCGACAGAGAAGGAAGCAAAUUGGAAAAGAAGAUGCGACUUUCUCCCGCCAUUCCGUUACAGCAGAAGAUGCAGACUCUCCAGAAAGGAUCCCCAUCGACCACAACCGACAAACACCAGCAAUGCGCUUGCGCUGUGGACGCUGACAGAACACAUGCACGGGUCACAAUGGUGAGGGAGGCACGGUCUCUAAAUAUAGCUUUCUCUCGGAGUAAACUGAGCCCGACUCGACAGAUUUGGUUGUGGCACGUGUACUCAUUACACUCCCCGUUUAUGGAGGGGUAUUCGAUGCUGUCUGUGCUACCCACCUGCAAGGGCGAAGGGGGGUGACGUGCAUCCACUUUAUUUGGCACGUUAUGAACUCAGACACCUGAAUGCCAGUAGAGGAGACUCUCCAAGCCUGUCUACUCCUUUAAUCCUCCAGACAUCCGCUAGCCAUUGGCGAUUGCUGCAUUGCAUCACGGGAUUUUACCAACAAGUGGACUGCUCCGCAUCUCGGAUAAUGUAAAGACCUUGCUUAUGUUUCCAGCCAUGUUUGGUAUAACAGCACAUGGUAUAGCGAUUUUGGUAAGUCAGGAUCCUUUCCAGACUAAUAGAUAGUGUUUUUAACGUUAUUCUCAUCUUCGGAUUUUUCCGCAUAAUGGCCCGGUCGCGCUUGAAAAAACUAAGAGGUAGUGGACGCGGAGGAGGAAGCGCAAAACAGAAAAAUGAUUGACCUCUGUAACCGGAGAAGUGUCGAGAAACAAAACUAGACGCCAUUUUCUUAACAUCAGUCGAGAGUGAUUUGUUACUGUAACAAAUACACGUAUUCCGGAGUACGUUUUUACAAUCCGGAACAGUAAUUUAAUUUAUAAUCUGUCAUCCUUUAAAAACUAAAGGGUAGCCAAUGUUUGCAACGCAAUAUAUAUAUAUAUAUAUACAUACACCGUUUCUCGUUUUGUUACCGAAAUAACACGCCAC
rnacentral:lncRNA from 1 species